AGAGCGAACGCUGGCGGCAGGCCUAAUACAUGCAAGUCGAACGGACCCUUCGGGGUUAGUGGCGGACGGGUGAGUAACACGUGGGAACGUGCCCUUUGGUUCGGAACAACUCAGGGAAACUUGAGCUAAUACCGAAUGUGCCCCCAUCCUUAAACAAGAUGGGUGGGAAAGAUUUAUCGCCAUUGGAGCGGCCCGCGUCUGAUUAGCUAGUUGGUGAGGUAAAGGCUCACCAAGGCGACGAUCAGUAGCUGGUCUGAGAGGAUGAUCAGCCACACUGGGACUGAGACACGGCCCAGACUCCUACGGGAGGCAGCAGUAGGGAAUCUUGCGCAAUGGGCGAAAGCCUGACGCAGCCAUGCCGCGUGAAUGAUGAAGGUCUUAGGAUUGUAAAAUUCUUUCAGCGGGGACGAUAAUGACGGUACCGCAGAAGAAGCCCCGGCUAACUUCGUGCCAGCAGCCGC
rnacentral:rRNA from 1 species